rnacentral:lncRNA from 1 species
CUCAGCGCGAUGGACCCCGACAAAGGUGGGACCCCCCCCCAAAAAAACCCACCCGCCUUCUCCCACCCCACGUGCCCCACAUCGGCCCUAUGUGCCCCACAUCAGCUCUGUGUGCCCCAUAUCAGCCCUAUGUGCCCCAUAUCAGCCCUAUAUGCCCCAUAUCACCCUAUAUACCCCAUAUUACUCUAUGUGCCCCAUAUUACUCUAUGUGCCCCACAUCACCCUGUGCCCCACAUCAGCCCUAUAUGCCUCACAUCGGCCCUAUUUGCCCCAUAUCACCCUAUGUGCCCCACAUCACCCUAUGUGCCCCAUAUCACCCUAUGUGCCCCACAUCACCCUAUAAGCCCCACAUCAGCCCUAUGUGCCCCACAUCACCCUAUAUACCCCAUAUUAACCCCCUGUGCCCCACAUCCGCCCCAUUUCUGCCCCCUUUUACCCCAUUCCCGGCCAUCGGCCGCCCU